CACACAUCUCUAUGGGGAAAUAUACCACAAACAUUUGGUCAAAGCUUGCCCAGGAUCUUCAGAACACAUAUGGAAUCUCACUUAAGAGCUACGUGGAUCUUGCCUGCCCUCAGCUGGAUUUAUGAAGGGAUCAUUGAAAAGUGGUGAAGUUUUACUGUCAUCAGGAUUCCAUUCCACAUUGUAUGUCCAUCUUCCAAAACCAUGAAAGAAUAAGAGUCUGCUUUUAAUUUUUCUGCCUUCCUGCAAAGGCAAGAUGAAGAUCUUUUUCUUUCUGCUUGUGUAAAUUCCAGGAUA
rnacentral:lncRNA from 1 species